UACGAGUGGUGCAAACGUUAUUCGGAAUAAUUGGGCGUAAAGGGUGUGUAGCCGGCGUAUUAAGUCAACUGUUAAAUUCUCCGGCCUAACCGGAGGCAAGCGGUAGAAACUGAUAUGCUAGAGGAUGGAAGAGAGAAGUGGAAUUCUCGGAGUAGCGGUAAAAUGCGUAGAUCUCGAGAGGAACACCGAUGGCGAAGGCAGCUUCUUAGUCCAUUCCUGACGUUGAAACACGAAAGCGUGGGGAGCAAACAGG
rnacentral:rRNA from 1 species